rnacentral:rRNA from 1 species
UACAGAGGGGGCAAGCGUUAUUCGGAAUUAUUGGGCGUAAAGGGCGCGUAGGCGGCCUGGCAAGUGGAAGGUGAAAUCCCUCGGCUCAACCGAGGAACUGCCCUCCAAACUGCCUGGCUUGAGUCCGGGAGAGGUGAGUGGAAUUCCCAGUGUAGCGGUGAAAUGCGUAGAUAUUGGGAGGAACACCAGUGGCGAAGGCGGCUCACUGGACCGGAACUGACGCUGAGGCGCGAAAGCGUGGGGAGCAAACGGG